CUUCCGGUUAUCUCAGAAUCUUUUUGCGAUAUUUUCAAUCUUUCAAUUGCUACUGGUUGUUUUCCUGAUAGCUGGAAAAUUGCCAAAGUAGCCCCAAUUUUUAAAAAUGGUCAACCUAACGAUCGAUCUAACUACCGACCUAUAUUUGUCCUGCCUGUUUUAGCCAGGGUAUUUGAAAACUUAUCUUUAGCCAGCUGCACGAUUAUUUGGACAAUAACAAACAAUCUAUUAUCAAACCUAUCUGGCUUCAGAGCUCUUCAUUCUGUUGUCACUUGCCUUCUUAACAACACAGAUGACUGGUAUGUGAAUAUGGACAAUGGCAGAUACACUGCAAAUAAUUUCAUUGAUCUCAGAAAAGCAUUUGACACCGUAGACCAUGACAUUUUACUUGCGAAGUUGAGGAAGUUUGGUGUUGAAAACCUAGAACUUACUUGGUUUAUGUCAUAUCUAACCACUAGAAAGCAAUUCUGCAAAGUAAAUGGGGUAUGUUCUAAAACCAAAGAUAUUCACUGUGGAGUCCCUCAGGGUUCAUGUCUUGGCCCUCUAUUGUUUCUGAUUUAUAUCAAUGAUCUUCCCUUCUUUCUGAAAAAAAGUAGAGUGACAAUGUACGCCGACGACACAAGUAUUUCUUACUCUUCUUCGAGCUUAGCAGAUAUAAAUCAAACUCUAAACAGUGAACUGAACGAUUUGAGGCAAUGGUUGCAAGGUAAAAAACUUUAUCUGAACGUUCUAAAAAUACAAGCUCUGAUUAUAGGCUCCCAGCCCAAAAUUAAGAAAAUUACAGAUAAAACAAUUGAUCAUCCACAGUUUCUUUUGGUGACUCUCAAGUUGAAAAUGUUGACCGAACAAAGUAACUGGGUGUGAUAAUCGAUAGAAGCUUGAUUUGGGAAGAACACGUUAACAGUCCCGUACCAAACUUUCUCGUGCAAUCGGAUUCUUGAAAUAUUCCAGAAAAUUUUUACCUCAAAACACGUUGAGUAAAAUGUGUUGAGGGUAUCGUCGAGCCCCAUCUUUGGUUUUGCUGUUCGGUAUGGGGGUGCUGUGGGGUGACUAAACUGCAAUCGUUGCAAAAGCUGCAGAAUCGAGCAGCUAGAAUUGUAGUUAAAAGCAGAGUUGAUGCGCCUGCUAUGCCACUGAUUCGCAGUUUGGGUUGGCCAACUUUAGAUGACAUUAUUAGAAGCGAAACAGCUAGAACAAGGUACAAGUCGUUAAAUGGGCUCGUCCCAGAGUACCUUUCCAACCUGUUCGAAAAAAAAAUUGACUCAAAAUGUUAGAAAACAAGCAAUGAUGGAAAACAAACAAUGGACAGAGAGCUAUUUCUCUUCGUGGACCUAAGCUUUGGAACCAACUUGAACCUGAUGCCAAACAGGUACCUUCCCUAGUCACCUUUAAGAGAAGAAUCAAAAAGAAACUAUGAACGAAAAUUCCUAUUUCGUAGUAUCUACCUUCUAACUUAUUAAUGUUUUUGUCACGGCCCCCUGAAAAGCAGUUCUCGUGGACUGACGGGGCUACCGUGCCUAAAUGAUUGAAAAUGUAAAUGUAAAAAUUUAAUGUAAUGCUAAGGGGACUCGGGGAGCUGAGCCCCUCUUGUUAAUGCCUAAAAUUAGCCAAUUUCUACUUUUGCUAUUGUUUUAGCAACUUUAUGUGCACAAGCCCCCCUUGUUAGUUUCAUAGUGCUACACCACUGGUUAGCCUGCGCGCAGCGGUCAGCUCCAAACAUAUAGAAUCGCCGAAGGCGCUAGAAGUCCCACUAGUGCGCAGUGCGCAGUGAGGCAAAGUUGUUUUGGCGGCCAUUUUAAAAAUGUAUUACGAAGGCUCAAUACCUCGAAGGGUCGAAUUUGACAAAAGCAAGGAUUGACGUCGUUUACUUUCCGUUCGAACAUCGAAAUGAAAGUUGGUUCCGGAGCGUCAAACGUUUUAACGAUGGCAGAGAAGGUAGAAUGGGGCUGAAGUGUAGAGGAGAAAAGAAGCAGACGAGGAAAAGAUAUAUUCAUAUUGAAGUUACCGAGAAGAUCACAUUCAGUAUAAUUUAUGGAGCUGCUGUGAAUUUGCACAAACAAUAAAUAUAAUGGUGUCUUAGAAGAUCACCUUCAGUGGAAUGAUUAUUGAUGCAGCAGAAUUUGAACCAACAAACAUAUAAUGGGCUAAAAACACAGCAAAAAACAAGUGAUUCUGCCAUCGGUCAACAUCUUUUAGACAACCCAGAUUGUGCAAAACUCUAUAAUGAAGACAUGUUUCAGAUAAUUGGCAGAGCCCGGUCGUCGUUCCAUCUAGCAGUUUUGGAAUCAAUCUACAUACAGACGAAAAAGCCGCCAUUGUGUAGACAGAAGGAGCUCGUUUUCUCUUUUGGACUCCAGUGGUAAUUUUUCUUUAGGCACGCGGCACUGAUUGGUCAACUAUACCGGUCUGGUGCUUGCGAUUUUCUGAUUGGCCUAUUUCGAUCCACAUCUGGAUAUCACUGGGAAUCUCACGGAAAUAUCUUUGAAUAACGGCAAAAAGAUAUCACUUGGAAUCUCACGGAAAAGUCUUUAAAUAACGGCAAAAAGGUAUUUUAUAGCAAUAUAAAGUUUUUCUAAACAUAAAAAUAUUUGUGUGAUUAGGUUGACAAUUUUUAAAGUUUUUUUGCAUUUCCAUUAAUGACUAGGUUUUUUUUCUAAAUCUACAUUAAGUUUUUUCUGUUGUUUUGAGCAAAGAUGGUUUUAUCAAAAAUUGACAAUUUUCUUUGAAUUUUUUUCAAAUCCAGUGUCACUGUUUUUUUUAAAAUGUCUAGGAACUCUUCUCAAUAUUCGAGGUUGGAAUUAAUCUAAAACACCUCAAAUUCUGUCGGAACACAAAUAAGGCAUUUAAGGUUGUUUCAACAUUUUUUGUGAAAAUUGAGAAUUUUUUGAAUAUGUUUCAGAAUGACUUGGAUACUUUUCUCAAAAUUUGGCAACAAAAUUCAUCCAAAACAUCCCAAAAAGGGCGGGGAAACUAAAUUGAAGCAUUUUAAGUUGUUUCGAGCAAAGCAAGUUUUUCUUGACAAGUGGCAACUUUUAACUUUUUCUGCUUAUCUUUUUCUGCUUGGUCAUAGAUUUUUCAUAAAUGAGUUUUUUCUAAAAUAACCUUGAAUUUCAUCCAAAACAUCUCAAAUUGUGUUGUGAACAGACAAUAAGGUACUUUAGGUUAUUUCAAGCGAAUAAAGUUUUAUUUGAAAAAUGACAAUUUUGAAGCUUUUGCUUGUACAGAGUCACAGAUUGUUAUCAAAAAUAACUCCAAUUUUAAGUCGAGCUUGAAAAUCAUCCAACGCAUCUCAAACAGUGUUCCAAUCGUAAACAAACGGAUUUAAGAUUUAUCAGCAAGAAACAGUUUAAAGGAAAUGUACAAUGCUUAUUUCCUAAAAAGUAAGGAUAUCAGGUUUCAAAAACUUCAUCUUUUUGUCGUGAAAAAUUUCACUAAAAAAAUCUUUAUAUAGUUAGAAUUCGACCUCCAAAGAAUCCUGCUUGGCGUCUGUAAUUUCUAGAAAAAAUAAAGAUGGCUGAAAAAUAAGAAAAAAAGUAAUGUUAUCAUCUAAAGAAUAAUAUAAAAAUUGACUUUCGGAAAUUCCGAUUUUUCGCGGCAAAAUGUUCCUUGAAAACGUUACUGGAAAUGUUUGAAUUGAACCUCUAGCAAGUCUGUAUUGGCCCCUGUCCUUCCUAAAAGCAAUAUAACUGAAAGAAAUGAACGAAAAAAGAACCAUGUUUUUCCACAAAAAAUUGAGGCUAUAGGCUUUGGAAAAUUUCGAUUUUUUGCCAGAAAAUUACCUGCGAAAAAUUUACCUAAAAUGUUUCAAUUGAACCUCUAGCAAGUCUGUAUCUGCCCCUGUCCUUCCUAAAAGCAAUAAAAGGAACAGAAAUGAGAGAAAAAAGAACGAUGUUUUUUCAUAAAAAAGUAAGGCUAUAGGCUUUGAAAAAUUUCGAUUUUUGGCCAGAAAAUUACCUGCGAAAAAUUUACCUAAAAUGUUUGAAUUGAACCUCUAGCAAGUCUGUAUUGGCCCCUGUCCUUCCUAGAAGCAAUAUAACUAAAAGAAAUGAACGAAAAAAAACAAUGUUUUUUCAUAAAAAAGUAAGGCUAUAGGCUUUGGAAAAAAUCGAUUUUUGGCCAGAAUAUUACCAGCGAAAAACUUACCAUAAAUGUUUAAAUUGAGCCUCUAGCAAGUCUGUAUUGGCCCCUGUCCUUCCUAGAAGCAAUAUAACUAAAAGAAAUGAACGAAAAAAAACAAUGUUUUUUCAUAAAAAAGUAAGGCUAUAGGCUUUGGAAAAAAUCGAUUUUUGGCCAGAAUAUUACCAGCGAAAAACUUACCAUAAAUGUUCGAAUUGAACCUCUAGCAAGU